CCGGCAGCACCUUGCAAAGGCAUUAGGAGCUGCGCACGAGGCUUCCUGCGCCUGUCUGUACCUGUCACCCCACAGCAGCACAACAGCCGUCGCUGUUUCGAUUGCUUCUUGCAGAUAAAAUGAGCUGCCCCGUAAACCGGAUUGUUUCAAUUCAUAUCCUAUCUUAAGCAAAAGGCUUUGUCUGAAUCCGUCAUGAAGUCACCAGCCAAGAGUGCCAGAGGAUUUUGCUGGACCUGAGCUUUUCAGUGGUGGAAAUAGCUCCUAAGCACUGAACUGCAGACCGACAAGAGCAGAGCACUUGGACUCUCUUAUCUCCUCUGCCGACAAGCAUUCCUUCUCCUACACAUCACCGUUAGGGGAGCAAAACUUUAUCUGCAUGACUAACACCAUAAUGUCCUAAUCCAUUUAACUGUAUGGAUAUGUUACAUGCCAAAUCCUUGGGAUACAAUUUCCUAUAUUUUAAAGCAAGUUGUCAUCAUGCAGUGCUCUACCAAGCMGAGCUAUAACCACCCAUUGUUGCUCUUCUCCCAGGUGGCAGAGUAGACCUGUUUGAAGGAAGUCCCAACUGAUCUUCCACUGUUUUUUGGUUGCUCAAAUCCUCAGAAAACGCUUCAGUACGAAGUGGUGCUUCUCUUCAGUCAUCUCCACACUGGUGGUGCCUGCUGAUGUCACUGCAGAGAGCUGCCCUUUUUUUGUCUCCACUGUUUGGAAGGAUCAAGCUUUUUAUUCCAGUGACUCAACAAGCAGUCAAGAAGGAUCCUUGCCUCAAGAACAGCAGCUCCUCUGAGAAACGAGAGAGGACGGGUGUGCUCCGGGAGCAGAGGACAACAACUGAAGCUGUAGCUGCUGCCACAGUUUGGCACAAGCGCCCUCRGAAGCAGCUGUGAGAAAGGCACCCUCUCCCCUUCCCUCACACGGCCGUGCUGGGCCAGCUGGAGGGCACCGUGGUGCUCGCUAGCUGGGCUCGUGGGCACGGCGUGAAUUGUGCCCCAGAGGUGCCUGYGUGUAGCUGAGACUGCGCUGCAGGUGGCUGCUGUGCUCGUCAGCA